UUUAGUCCAAAUUCUAUGGUAUGCAUCCACCUUAUCCUCUUGCUUGUAUCAAACAUCCAUAUGUUGAGCAAAAGUAAAACCAUUGGACAAAUACAAUACCAGUAUAUGAAGAUUGAUACACAAAUUCCAAUAUUUAAAGUUGGAUACAUACUAUAGUGGCUUUUGGGCUGUAGUUGGAUAACCCUAAAUUUAUAUAGGACUGAACCCAUAACAAUUGAACGUUUUUAUCGUAUAUGAAGAUAACAUGAAAUGUAUUGUAUUGAGAGAUCCUACCUUUUUUAUCCGGACACCUUUAAGACUCAUUUCGAGUUUAGUUUCCAGCUUCUGCAGAUCAUUGGCAUUCAAACCUGUAAGUUCUUCUCCCAACAGCUGCCUGCAAGUAUGGAAUCACCGGGUAAAAACAAAUCUUUUCCAAAGGACACUUCUCAUUUGCUCCAGAAUUUAUGAAUAAAAUAAAUACUACAAAACCAACGGUGCUGUAUCAAUCCCUACUUAAUAAAGGAUGCUGUAAUAAGCCGGUGAACAAGUGAAAUUCGUGUUUAUGUUAAUGGUGCUUGUAGAAUAAUAAAAACUACUUUGGUAUGCUUUAUGAGUACAGGGAAUAGAUAUAUCAGCAUAAAUACGGAAUAUUUUCUAAAUAUUCUUAACCUUAGAUGAAAGGCACACUAAAAGGAAUGCAUGUCUAGUACGAGCUAUGAGUUCUGACUGUCUCGGACGACUCUUGCCUAGAUAGUUCAGGCCGUACCGCCACUGAAUUAGUUCCAAGAAAGCGGCCGCCCACUAACUGAACUGCGGGAACAAAGAAUUUCAUUUGUAGGGUUUGGUGGCCCGAAAUUGACUUGGCUUCGCCAAAAGGCCUCUAAAGUUCUCCGCUGUCACAUAGGCUCGAGACAUGCCUCCUAUCGUGCUUUCUUCCCUGCUCCCCUACUUCACUUAAGAAUCCAAAGGUGACUUGGGAUGAUUUUAGAAGGAGCUGCUGUGUUGAUUCUUUCUCUGAUUUUCUUUUUUGACUAUUAUGAAGGUAAUUUCUUUAAAUACAAUGAGCAAACAGGUUAUAUGAAGUAAAAAGAAAAAAUUUAUGUAAAGCUCUCCAAGUGAAGAUGUAAAUAGAAUGAUGUGUGUAUUGCACUCCCAAAACCCUGUUUUCAAUGCUUAGGCUACUUUCAUAGUGCUCGCUGCUGUGGCGAUCUAGAGUAGCAUGUGUUUGUUGCUCACUGCAACUGCAGCAUGGUCCACAAUCAUGUCAACUGAGAGCUCAGUUCAAACUCUAGUGAACUUAUUCUUACAAGGACCAACUCUAAUUCUAGCCAGUCUAGAUUGGUUGUUGUCUUCCGGAACAUACGAAACUACUCACUGCUUAGACCCAUUCAACCCAAAUAGCCAUUUUAAAUCCAGAGAUUGUUGUUCCAACAGAGUUGCUGUGUACUUUUCUUUGGCUUCUUCCUUCUUGACUGAUCAUCCGGUUUAAAUCACAGCAUUCCGCAUCCGAUGAACCAAAAGCAGUUAAAAUCGCCUUUCAUUUGCUAAUUUCAGCAUAUUAAUGCGGUCAAUCACAUUUCUCAUGCUGAUAAAGAGCAGACAAGAACACAUUAGUAGGGCCACUGUUGCAGUACUUGUAAUUAUAAUGCAAAGGUGUUAGGGUGAUGGCAUCGCAUGGAUUAAAGGUGAGUGGUGGGUGGUGACCACAAGUGGAACACCGCCGCCGAUGGGUGUCCACGCAUGGGUGGUUGGAUUUGGGUGGAAGUUCCACUUGCGUGGAAGGUGAGGCAAAGUCAACCGUUUGAAGAUUUUGACCGUUUGAGACUUACUUUUUUUUUAACCCCCUUUUUCUAUUUAAACACUCUUUUACAUUCACUAAUUCAUUCAUAUAUACACAUUCAUAUUUACACACAUUUACCCGUUCUUUCAUCCAUACUUUUCACUUCAAACAUAGCAAACAACAACCAAAAUAUGACUCUGCGGGAUGUUAAUUAAAAUGGAGAUGUAAACACACACGAAUAACGACGUCAGACAUCGAUAUGUAGUAAACAACGUCAUUAUGUAAUGUUUUUUUUUAUGUUUUUUUUAGUAUUAUGUAAUGGUUUUAUGUUUAAUAAAAUUUAGUUUUAAAAAUAAAAAUUAAAAUUGUAGUGAGUAGUGGGUGAGUGAUGACAAUGCCAACAAAAUUUGGGUGAGUGGUAGAUUGGAGGUGACAUAAUGCAAUUGGUU